rnacentral:rRNA from 1 species
AGAGUUUGAUCCUGGCUCAGAUUGAACGCUCGCGGCAUGCCUUACACAUGCAAGUCGAACGGUAACAGGGAGCUUGCUCCGCUGACGAGUGGCGAACGGGUGAGUAAAGUAUCGGAACGUACCUUUCAGUGGGGGAUAACGUAGCGAAAGUUACGCUAAUACCGCAUAUUCUGUGAGCAGGAAAGCAGGGGAUCGCAAGACCUUGCGCUGAUUGAGCGGCCGAUAUCAGAUUAGCUAGUUGGUGAGGUAAAGGCUCACCAAGGCGACGAUCUGUAGCGGGUCUGAGAGGAUGAUCCGCCACACUGGAACUGAGACACGGUCCAGACUCCUACGGGAGGCAGCAGUAGGGAAUUUUGGACAAUGGGGGCAACCCUGAUCCAGCCAUGCCGCGUGAGUGAAGAAGGCCUUCGGGUUGUAAAGCUCUUUCGGCCGGGAAGAAAUCGUAUGGGUUAAUACCCUGUGCGGAUGACGGUACCGGCAUAAGAAGCACCGGCUAACUACGUGCCAGCAGCCGCGGUAAUACGUAGGGUGCGAGCGUUAAUCGGAAUUACUGGGCGUAAAGCGUGCGCAGGCGGUUUUGUAAGACAGGCGUGAAAUCCCCGGGCUCAACCUGGGAACUGCGCUUGUGACUGCAAGGCUAGAGUAUGGCAGAGGGGGGUGGAAUUCCACGUGUAGCAGUGAAAUGCGUAGAGAUGUGGAGGAACACCAAUGGCGAAGGCAGCCCCCUGGGCCAAUACUGACGCUCAUGCACGAAAGCGUGGGUAGCAAACAGGAUUAGAUACCCUGGUAGUCCACGCCCUAAACGAUGUCAACUAGGUGUUGGGUGGGUAAAACCAUUUAGUACCGGAGCUAACGCGUGAAGUUGACCGCCUGGGGAGUACGGCCGCAAGGUUAAAACUCAAAGGAAUUGACGGGGACCCGCACAAGCGGUGGAUGAUGUGGAUUAAUUCGAUGCAACGCGAAAAACCUUACCUACCCUUGACAUGCUAGGAAGCCCGCAGAGAUGUGGCCGUGCCCGAAAGGGAACCUAGACACAGGUGCUGCAUGGCUGUCGUCAGCUCGUGUCGUGAGAUGUUGGGUUAAGUCCCGCAACGAGCGCAACCCCUGCCAUUAGUUGCGACAUUUAGUUGAGCACUCUAAUGGGACCGCCGGUGACAAACCGGAGGAAGGUGGGGAUGACGUCAAGUCCUCAUGGCCCUUAUGGGUAGGGCUUCACACAUAAUACAAUGGUCGGUACAGAGGGAUGCCAACCCGCGAGGGGGAGCUAAUCCCAGAAAGCCGAUCGUAGUCCGGAUUGUAGUCUGCAACUCGACUGCAUGAAGCCGGAAUCGCUAGU